rnacentral:rRNA from 1 species
UACGUAGGGUGCGAGCGUUUGUCCGGAAUUAUUGGGCGUAAAGGGCUCGUAGGCGGUUUGUCGCGUCGGGAGUGAAAUCCACUGGCUUAACUGGUGGCUUGCUUUCGAUACGGGCAGACUGGAGGUAUGCAGGGGAGAACGGAAUUCCUGGUGUAGCGGUGAAAUGCGCAGAUAUCAGGAGGAACACCGGUGGCGAAGGCGGGUCUCUGGGCCGAUAUUGACGCUGAGGAGCGAAAGCGUGGGGAGCAAACAGG